UACGUAGGGCGCAAGCGUUGUCCGGAAUUAUUGGGCGUAAAGAGCUCGUAGGCGGCUUGUCACGUCGAUUGUGAAAGCCCGAGGCUUAACCUCGGGUCUGCAGUCGAUACGGGCUAGCUAGAGUGUGGUAGGGGAGAUCGGAAUUCCUGGUGUAGCGGUGAAAUGCGCAGAUAUCAGGAGGAACACCGGUGGCGAAGGCGGAUCCCUGGGCCAUUACUGACGCUGAGGAGCGAAAGCGUGGGGAGCGAACAGG
rnacentral:rRNA from 1 species